rnacentral:lncRNA from 1 species
UGAACAUGGGAGUACAUACAUCUGUUUGAGGAACUCAGAGUGGUUUUCCAGAUGGGAAUCACAUUGCUCUCUGUCCCUGAGAUCUUGCUGGAGACAGGGCUACUCAGUCCCUCUUUGCCAGGUAAUCUGUUCCAGAAGAAACAUGUGUCGUUCUGACUGAGCCCCUGCCUGUCUGUCACCUUAAGAGCCAGUCAAUUCAUAUGGUCCCCAUAUCAAAGUCUCCUGUGCCCAGAGAGAGGAUUUCAUUUCAACCAUCACCAUCACCACCAUCAUCAUCAUCACCAAGAGAUGUUGUUGAAUUGAUACUGGAAAAGCAGUUUCUAUUGAGCCCCCAAAUGAAGAGUGAGUGCAGAUGAAGAGGAGGCAGGACUCACAAGCCCUUGAACUUUAUUCCAGAUCUGUUAGCACCUACAGGACCCUGCACCAGGAUUUCAUCUGUACUAUCAGCUUCUUCAAAGAGAGAGAGGUUGUUGAAAUAUUUUCAGUCCAAGAUUGGUUGCAUUCAUGUAUGCAGAAUCCACAGAUACAAAAGGUCAACUGUACUUAUUUAUUUAAUUCUCACCACAACCUAUGAGAAGGAUCUAUUGUUGCCUGACUUUAGAAAAAAGGAAACUGAGGUACAGUGAAGACAGAGUUAGCAAGUGCCAAGGCUUAGAUGUGAACACAGGCUGUGUGGCUCCUGAGUAAAUUCAUCUAUCCAGUGUGUGCUGCUGCCUCUCAAAUGAUGAGAAAAAUCUUGCUUUUUCAGGCCGGGCACAGUGGCUCACGCCUGUAAUCCCAGUUACAGGGAUCACCUCGUGAUCUCAGUGAUAGAUAACACCAGAUUGAUAUUGGAAAAGCAGUUUCCCAUUGAGUCUCAAAUGAAGAGAGUGCAGAUGAAGAGGAGCUCUUCAUGUGGAUGUCUGAGCUCAUAUCAGGUGUCUGAAAGAGGCAGAUUCUGAGGAUUUGGGUCAUGAUGGCUGCCAAAGCUUCUACUCCUGACUUAAAGGGCAACAAUCCUAGGAGACCACCAGCACUUACAUCCCUGGUAGGACAUGACACCUGCUUAUGGCUCAGAAGUGACAAAAGAGAAUUAUCAGGAUGGCAGUCCUUAUAACCAGAUGCUUAUCAACAUUCUUCACUACAUUCUGAAGAUGAAUUUCUACAAGGGAAAUUGUUUAUAUUUGUUGUUGGGGAUAGAUAAGGAAAGAAGAAAAAGGCUCUGGUGAGAAACCCAUUGUACCUUCUGGAUAUGAUCACUACCCAAUUUUAUCAGUGUCAUUGAUCACUAACCCAGUGCCUCGUAUGGUGCCAGGCACAGAGUUACUCCAAGAAUGUACAAUAAUGGCUGGAUUCUCUUUCUCCCUGUGCAACUCUUCAUGCAUGUGACUGAACUUAUAUUAAGUGUCUGAAGGAGGUUCGUUCUGAGGAUCUGGGACAUGAUGGGUGCUGAAGCUUCUACUCAAGAUUUGAAGGGCAGCUGUCCUCAGGAGACCCCUGGCACUUCCCUCCAUGGUGGGAUGUGAUGCCUGAUUCCAGUGAGUUCAUAGAGCUGAACAAAAGGAGGCAGCAGAUGGCUGAAAUUCUGAUCCGAUGUGGCUGGUUAAUGCAUGAUCUGAAAACCCCUGCACUGGUGAUUUUGGGACAGAUCUAGAAUAUACCAAUAAAUAUAUUAACAUACCAAGUAGUCUAGGAGCAGCCACUGGGCGAACACCAAACCUUGCAUCCCUGCUGCUGUCUCUGAGCUCAGCAGACACGUCUUUGCAGAAGAGUUCUAUAAUGGUGGUACAAUGGUGCCCCCUCGUGACAGAAGCUUGAACUACAGCUUGAACAUCGAGAUGAAAAUAUACUGUCUACGUUGUUCAACACAAUAGCUAAUGGCAACUGUGGCAGUUGAACACCCGAAACGUGAUGAAUGUGACUGAGGAACUGAACUUUUAGUUUCAUUGUGACAUGAUGAAUGAAUUUAUUGAGCCCCAGGAAGAAGGAAAAUUAAAGAAGAGCAAAGAAUAAUAGCUGGACAGAAGAUGGGGGUCAUUGAACCUAUAUCCUAGUUGCCAGACCAGUAAACUGACCAUGGGACCUGGGGGAGGCAGCAGAUGACCGAAAACCUGGAGUGAUGUGGCUGAAUACCGCAUGAUCUGAAGACUGCACUGGUGGCUGCGGUAUGGGUCCAAAUUUUUCCUUAACAAAAACAA